GAUGAAGAACGCAGCGAAAUGCGAUAAGUAAUGUGAAUUGCAGAAUUCAGUGAAUCAUCGAAUCUUUGAACGCACAUUGCGCCCCCUGGUAUUCCGGGGGGCAUGCCUGUCCGAGCGUCAUUACAACCCUCAAGCUCAGCUUGGUGUUGGGCCCCGCCGCCCCGGCGGGCCCUAAAGUCAGUGGCGGUGCCGUCCGGCUCCGAGCGUAGUAAUUCUUCUCGCUCUGGAGGUCCGGUCGUGUGCUCGCCAGCAACCCCCAAUUUUUUAAGGUUGACCUCGGAUCAGGUAGGGAUACCCGCUGAACUUAAGCAUAUCAAUAAGCGGAGGA
rnacentral:misc_RNA from 1 species